rnacentral:rRNA from 1 species
AGUGAACGCUGGCGGCGUGCCUAAUACAUGCAAGUCGAACGAAGUGGCGCACGGAUGAGUAAUAUAUAGUUCAUCUGCCCUACACAGAGGAACACCAGUUGGAAACGACUGCUAAUACAUCAUAGUGUAGGAUGAGCCUAUAUCGUAUCAGCUAGUUGGUAAGGUAAUGGCUUACCAAGGCUAUGACGCGUAACUGGUCUGAGAGGAUGAUCAGGCACAUUGGAAGGGAGACACGGUCCAAACUCCUACGGGAUGAAGCAGUAAGGAAUAUUGCGGAAUGGGGGAAAGCCUGACGGAGCAACGCCGCGUGGAUGAUGACACUUAUCGGAGCGGAAACUCCUUUGAUCAGGAAAGCGGUACCUGAUGAAUAAGCACCGGCUAACUACGUGCCAGCAGCCGAGGUAAUUC